AUUGUGUUGUACCUGUGGUAUUGGACCAGGUUCGGUGUCUCAACUGUGCAGAUGAACCAAUGUGGAAUUGAUACUUGGGAGCCACGUUUGUAAGCCCCUAUUGUGCUGGCGCACUGGGAAACACUCCCCACAGCAUGGUUGCCAUGUGCAGGGACACCUGCCCCUAUAUUCAGUGCCUUGGGGCUGAAUUUUGUGAAGUUCUCCCCUACCCUCAACCUCUAGCCAAAGUAGCUGCUUGUGCGUUGUAGUUCCUGUCUCCACGACAGUUUUAGCUCCCCUCCUCAGCCACUAGAUCGAUCUGCCCUUGUUCAUCACAACCAACUCCUGUGUCUGGUGACCACAACAGCAAUCCUUCAACCUCAUCAUGGCCAGGGUUCGUGGAGAUUGUCUCGGCCGUGUUGUGCCCAUUCCUUGUUCCUCACAGGAGAAGUUUUAUUCCCUUAUCUUUUGGUUAGUUACUUCAUGUGGAGGCCUUGAAGCUUAGAAUGUUUAUGUGUAUCUCUUAUGGAAAGGCUUCACCCUUCCAAUUAUUGUAAUAAGUUAUGCACUUUGGGUACUAUCAGGACUUGUAAUAAAUACAUCUCUUUCUACCUUGUAAAACUUGAGUUCUGGAAUGUAAAGUGUACUUU